CUGAAGUAUAAGACCAAGUGGGGCAGAGAUCCCAGUUGAGGGCCCCACCCCACCCCAGGACCCAGCUGGUGCAGUUGACAAGGAUGCAGCAACAACAAAAACAACAACGACAACAACAACAACAAAAAAAAAACAGCCAGAAAACUAAAGGAAAAUGUCUCAAUGAAUAGAACUGCAAAAUUUUAUGGAAAGCAGCAAACAAAAUCCAUCAACAUAUUAAAAUUAUUACAGUACAACAGUAAUGCAUGGAAAUUCAUCAUUACUACAUUUAGCAAUAUAAUUCCUCUUAUUAAGAAAUAUUACUUUCUAAAACAUAUCACCAUGAAAACAAAUGUCAAUCAACAGGUUGAAAGUAAAUUUCUUGUUAAUACAUAUAACAGAAGAAAAAAGAUCAAAACCUAGAAAAAAACACACAAAGAGUUCAUAAAUAAGAUGCAUACCUAAACAGAAAGAAACAAGGAGUAAAUAGCAAGGGGAAUACAAAAGAAUAAGCUUAUAAGAGGAUGAAGAGGCAGGGAGAGAUGGCUCACACCUGUAAUCCCAGCACUUUGGAAGGCCAAGGCAGGAGGAUAGCUUGAGCCCAGGAGUUUGAGACAAGCCUGGGCAACAUAGUGAGACCUCGACUCUACAAAAAAUUUAAAAGAAAAUUAUCAGGUGCAGUGGUUCACACCUGUAGUUCUAGUUGCUCAAGAGACUGAGGAUCUCCUGAGGCUCUAAUUGCACCAUUGCAGUAAAGCCUGGGAGACAGGAUGAGAUCUUGUCUCAAAAAAUAAGAGGAUGGCCAAUAUCUCCUACCUGGAAAAAUUAACAUAAUGUAAUGCCAUAAUUGUUCUCCUGAUGGAAAAAGACUAAAAGGAUUAAUAAGAGCCAGCUUUUUUUGUUUGUUUGUUUUUGUUUUGAGAUGGAGUCUUGCUCUGUCACCCAGGCUGGAGUGCAGUGGCAUGUGAUGUCGGUUCACUGCAACUUCCACCUCCCAGGUUGAGGCAAUUCUCCUGCCUCAGUCUCCUGAGUAACUGGGAUGACAGGCGUCCACCACUUAAGCAAAAACAAACACACAAACCCCAAACUCUAUUCCUAACUAUACACAAAUAUCUGUGUAAAUAUAUAGAAACCGAUCUGAAACAACUAAGGUGAAAUUUUUAAUAACGGUAAUUUUGGGAGGGAAAUGAAAGUAACAAGAGAGAGGAGGUUGAUAUAGCAAUGGGGACUUUCAUUUUAACUUAAAAAAAUUAAAACAUAAGCAAAUAUUAUCUUAAACAUGCAUGUAAUUUGCAUUAGCAAAAAGAGAAAUGAAGUCCCAGAAAUAUGCUGACAUUUAAGAAAACACUAGCGAUGUGAAGUCAUUAUCCUCAGCAAACUAAUCCAGGAAGAGAAAACCAAACACCACGUUCUCCCUUAUAGUGGAAGCUGAAAAAUGAGAACACAUGGACACAGGAAGAGGAACAACACACAUUGGGGCCUGUCAUGGGGUGGGGUUAGGGGAGGGAGAGCAUUAAGAAAAAUAGCUAAUGCAUGCUGGGCUUAAUACCUAGGUGAUGAGUUGACAGGUGCAGCAAACCACCAUGGCACACGUUUACCUAUGUAACAAAUCUGCACAUCCUGCCCAUAUACCCCAGAACUUAAAAAC
rnacentral:lncRNA from 1 species